rnacentral:rRNA from 1 species
UACAGAGGUGGCAAGCGUUGUUCGGAAUUACUGGGCGUAAAGCGCGCGUAGGCGGCUUUGUAAGUCAGAGGUGAAAGCCCGGAGCUCAACUUCGGAAUAGCCUUUGAGACUGCAUCGCUUGAAUCCGGGAGAGGUGAGUGGAAUUCCGAGUGUAGAGGUGAAAUUCGUAGAUAUUCGGAAGAACACCAGUGGCGAAGGCGGCUCACUGGACCGGUAUUGACGCUGAGGUGCGAAAGCGUGGGGAGCAAACAGG